rnacentral:rRNA from 1 species
GACGAACGCUGGCGGCGUGCCUAACACAUGCAAGUCGAGCGGAGGUACUUGAGGAGUAAUCUGAGGGUACUUUAGCGGCGGACGGGUGAGUAACGCGUGAGCAACCUGCCUUUCACAGGGGGAUAAGGCGGCGAAAGCCGCUCUAAUACCGCAUGAGACCACGGGGAUGAUAUUCCAGGGGUCAAAGGAGCAAUCCGGUGAGAGAUGGGCUCGCGUCCGAUUAGGUAGUUGGUGAGGUAACGGCCCGCCAAGCCAAUGAUCGGUAGCCGGCCUGAGAGGGUGAACGGCCACAUUGGAACUGAGAGACGGUCCAAACUCCUACGGGAGGCAGCAGUGGGGAAUAUUGGGCAAUGGGGGAAACCCUGACCCAGCAACGCCGCGUGAGGGAAGAAGGUUUUCGGAUUGUAAACCUCUGUUCUUGGAGAAGAGAAGAAGACGGUAUCCAAGGAGGAAGCCCCGGCUAACUACGUG